rnacentral:rRNA from 1 species
UACAGAGGGGGCAAGCGUUGUUCGGAAUUACUGGGCGUAAAGGGCGCGUAGGCGGCCUUCUAAGUCGAACGUGAAAUCCCCGGGCUCAACCCGGGAACUGCGUCCGAUACUGGAAGGCUUGAAUCCGGGAGAGGGAUGUGGAAUUCCAGGUGUAGCGGUGAAAUGCGUAGAUAUCUGGAGGAACACCGGUGGCGAAGGCGGUUCUCUGGGCAUGUCCUGACGCUGAGGAGCGAAAGUGUGGGGAGCGAACAGG